AGCGGCGGAUGGGUGAGUAACACGUGGGGAACCUGCCCCUAAGUCUGGGAUACCAUUUGGAAACAGGUGCUAAUACCGGAUAAUAAAGCAGAUCGCAUGAUCAGCUUUUGAAAGGCGGCGUAAGCUGUCGCUAAGGGAUGGCCCCGCGGUGCAUUAGCUAGUUGGUAAGGUAACGGCUUACCAAGGCGACGAUGCAUAGCCGAGUUGAGAGACUGAUCGGCCACAUUGGGACUGAGACACGGCCCAAACUCCUACGGGAGGCAGCAGUAGGGAAUCUUCCACAAUGGACGCAAGUCUGAUGGAGCAACGCCGCGUGAGUGAAGAAGGUUUUCGGAUCGUAAAGCUCUGUUGUUGGUGAAGAAGGAUAGAGGUAGUAACUGGCCUUUAUUUGACGGUAAUCAACCAGAAAGUCACGGCUAACUACGUGCCAGCAGCCGCGGUAAUACGUAGGUGGCAAGCGUUGUCCGGAUUUAUUGGGCGUAAAGGGAGCGCAGGCGGUUGGAAUAGUCUGAUGUGAAAGCCCACGGCUUAACCGUGGAAGGUCAUUGGAAACUGUCCAACUUGAAUGCAGAAGAGGUAAGUGGAAUUCCAAGUGUAGCGGUGAAAUGCGUAGAUAUUUGGAGGAACACCAGUGGCGAAGGCGACUUACUGGUCUGUAAUUGACGCUGAGGCUCGAAAGCGUGGGUAGCAAACAGGAUUAGAUACCCUGGUAGUCCACGCCGUAAACGAUGAGUGCUAAGUGUUAGGGGGUUUCCGCCCCUUAGUGCUGGAGUUAACGC
rnacentral:rRNA from 1 species